rnacentral:lncRNA from 1 species
UUCUCGAAUCAAGUACCGCAAUGAUCUUAAAAAUUUAACAAAUCCCCCUUUAAAUGACGAAUACAUGUGAAAUCGAGGGGAGCGGCGGCGGAUUGCAGUAGUGGCGGAGCUCGGCCGUGGCAACGGGCGGCUGCAGCAAGUGGUGGCGGCGGCGGCUAAACCCUACCAAGGGCGAGCACCGCAAGUGACCUUGCAGUAAAUGGGGAAUCGUGGGUCAGCAAGAGUGACACGGCGUUGGAUAUAAAGUCAUAAAGGUAUAGUGCGCACCCAGAUAACAAGAUGGGUAGGAG